CGAGAGUUGCAAACUUCCUUCCCAGACGCCUCUUAACACACAGAUGUUACAGUAACUCAGGCAGGAAAUCAGGCCUAAACAUCACCUUUGACCUCACAUGUCAGCUGAUCCACCGUUACCUCUUUUGAAAUAGACUCUCGACUUCUCUAAAUUACCAGAUUUUCCCACCAUGUCCAUCUAUUCAUUUGGUCUGGCUCUGGCCCUUCUCCAUCGCGGACCCUGCGGUCAACUAAAAGUGAUUGCACAGUUGCUGAAAAUCUGUCCCCUUGGGUUCACAUGGGUCAAAGGGCUCACUCCGGGGUCAGAGUCUGUCUUUAUGUCUCUUCCCACCAAAGGCUUUGUGAUGAAUAGAAAGCCCCAGGAAACAAAAGCUUUCAGCAAAGACAAGCAACUUUGCCCAAUACAUCAGCACCUCCGCUCACCAACGCUUCCCUGGUUAAAGCACAGGAGGAGCAAUGGCCACAGAGAGAUUUUAAAUUCCAGUGGUGGAAAAUGGCAGGGAGAUUUUGAGUUAAUGGCAUCUGGCUAAAGGUCAGAUUUGUGAGGCCCUGUGGGUGAAAGGUUGAAUAACUCCAAGAAAGGUAGUGACCAAAAGUCUUCAGCGAGAUGGUUGAGACCUUGUUCUGGGCAUCUACAUCUCCCUAAUUUUAUGACCAUUACGCUGUAAAAAAAAAAAAAAAACGUUUUUUUUCUUUUUUAAUUUUUUAUGUCAAGCAUUGUUUACUUUAUAGUAUUGAAAAUCUGGAUAUUGAAUUAAAUAAAACUCCAAGUUGUGUAAAGAUUUAUAACAAUUAUCAACAAUAAAACAUGCAUGUUUUUUUCAGUAUUGACCGACAUAGUAUUAGUUUAUUUACUUACUUAGCUUUAAAAAAGAAAGAAAAAAACUUUUUUUAAGAGGUCUGAGUCUUGAGUUCAAGCUGCAGGUGUGCAAAAUGGAGCAUGCACUUUUCUUCUAAAUUAGGCAUUGAGAGCUUGCAAAAAGAAGGACAGGGAAAUUAGUGGAAUAACUGGUUGAUUCUAACCAGAUGAUUGCUUCAGUUGGACACCAGAGAGUUUUCAUUAGGGCUCUAAUUUACAAGCCUCCCCCUGCAUUCCAGCCCAUCGACCAACUGCUCCAGGUCUUAAAGACCUUCUUCAGCCUUUGCCCCCUGCAGAAACUGUUAAAAAAACAUGCUUUUAAAAAUAUGCUCAUUUUGUGGACGUUAUACCUAGAAACAAAUCAAAUGAAAUCGAUACUUUUCAAACUUUACCCUGAUUUAUCUGUGCUACUAGAUCCUCAC
rnacentral:lncRNA from 1 species